GACGAACGCUGGCGGCGUGCCUAAUACAUGCAAGUUGAGCGCUGAAGGUUGGUACUUGUACCAACUGGAUGAGCAGCGAACGGGUGAGUAACGCGUGGGGAAUCUGCCUUUGAGCGGGGGACAACAUUUGGAAACGAAUGCUAAUACCGCAUAAAAACUUUAAACACAAGUUUUAAGUUUGAAAGAUGCAAUUGCAUCACUCAAAGAUGAUCCCGCGUUGUAUUGGCUAGUUGGUGAGGUAAAGGCUCACCAAGGCGAUGAUACAUAGCCGACCUGAGAGGGUGAUCGGCCACAUUGGGACUGAGACACGGCCCAAACUCCUACGGGAGGCAGCAGUAGGGAAUCUUCGGCAAUGGACGAAAGUCUGACCGAGCAACGCCGCGUGAGUGAAGAAGGUUGUCGGAUCGUAAAACUCUGUUGGUAGAGAAGAACGUUGGUGAGAGUGGAAAGCUCAUCAAGUGACGGUAACUACCCAGAAAGGGACGGCUAACUACGUG
rnacentral:rRNA from 1 species